GAGGAGCUUGCUCCUCUGACGUUAGCGGCGGACGGGUGAGUAACACGUGGAUAACCUACCUAUAAGACUGGGAUAACUUCGGGAAACCGGAGCUAAUACCGGAUAAUAUAUUGAACCGCAUGGUUCAAUAGUGAAAGACGGUUUUGCUGUCACUUAUAGAUGGAUCCGCGCCGCAUUAGCUAGUUGGUAAGGUAACGGCUUGCCAAGGCAACGAUGCGUAGCCGACCUGAGAGGGUGAUCGGCCACACUGGAACUGAGACACGGUCCAGACUCCUACGGGAGGCAGCAGUAGGGAAUCUUCCGCAAUGGGCGAAAGCUUGACGGAGCAACGCCGCGUGAGUGAUGAAGGUCUUCGGAUCGUAAAACUCUGUUAUUAGGGAAGAA
rnacentral:rRNA from 1 species